UACGUAGGGUGCAAGCGUUGUCCGGAAUUAUUGGGCGUAAAGAGCUCGUAGGCGGUUUGUUGCGUCGGAUGUGAAAGCCCGGGGCUUAACCCCGGGUCUGCAUUCGAUACGGGCAGACUAGAGUGUGGUAGGGGAGAUCGGAAUUCCUGGUGUAGCGGUGAAAUGCGCAGAUAUCAGGAGGAACACCGGUGGCGAAGGCGGAUCUCUGGGCCAUUACUGACGCUGAGGAGCGAAAGCGUGGGGAGCAAACAGG
rnacentral:rRNA from 1 species